rnacentral:rRNA from 1 species
GAUGAACGCUGGCGGCGUGCCUAAUACAUGCAAGUCGAGCGAACAGACGAGGAGCUUGCUCCUCUGACGUUAGCGGCGGACGGGUGAGUAACACGUGGAUAACCUACCUAUCAGACUGGGAUAACUUCGGGAAACCGGAGCUAAUACCAGAUAAUAUAUUGAACCGCAUUGUUCAAUAGUGAAAGACGGUUUUGCUGUCACUUAUAGAUGGAUCCGCGCCGCAUUAGCUAGUUGGUAAGGUAACGGCUUACCAAGGCAACGAUGCGUAGCCGACCUGAGAGGGUGAUCGGCCACACUGGAAGUGAGACACGGUCCAGACUCCUACGGGAGGCAGCAGUAGGGAAUCUUCCGCAAUGGGCGGAAGCCUGACGGAGCAACGCCGCGUGAGUGAUGAAGGUCUUCGGAUCGUAAAACUCUGUUAUUAGGGAAGAACAAAUGUGUAAGUAACUAUGCACGUCUUGACGGUACCUAAUCAGAAAGCCACGGCUAACUACGUG